rnacentral:sRNA from 1 species
AGGCUUUUCCUCAGAGUGAGUCUUUAAAACUGAUUGUUAAAUAUGCCUAUAUAUUGUUAACCAAUUUUUAUUUGUGUGAAAAUUUUUUUUUGCAAGGUUUGUGAGAGUCUGCGUCGCAGAUAUUUCUAUCCACAAACCAGUCAUGAUCUGUAAUCUACACCUAAAGUCAUGAAAAUUAGUCGCCAUGAAAAAAAUUUGGUUAACAGUGAAACUUUAUUAUAUUUGAUGUAUGUUACUGAUAGGUGACGAAUCUCAGUGGAGAUAAAUGAUAAGCAGUUUGCCCAACAAUCAGAAAUGCUUGAAGUAUUUUACAGUCAACAAACAUAGCUGUAUCAUGAUAAAGAGUGUAUAAACAAUGUCAUUGCAAUUUGAUGUGCCUCUUUAUGAUGAGUUUUAUUUAGUCAUGGAGGAGAUGUGAGUCUCACCACUUUGAGUACACUCAGACACUAGAGAGUAAGUCUUGUCAUGUAUGGAAAAUAUUAGUGCUCAAGUUUGUGUUUUAUCGGGGCCAUUGAAUUAGUACAGUUAUUAUGUCUUUAAUAUGUUUUUAUUUUUAAUCUAAAUAUAAUAUAACCGACACAAUUCUGACAAACAAACAGCUAUUAUCAUGCCAUGUCUACAAGACUCAACAGUAGAUGUUUUAUUUCUGUGACCAGCUCUGGUCCUAUCCCAGUGAGAAGGUUUUACACAUUCAGUAGAUAAGUACACGUGUAUAUAUAUAUCAGUAUGGGGUACUCUGAAGCUUCAGUUAAUUGUACAUACUGUAGACUAGUAUGUAUACUGUUGAAUUUUUGCAAUAAACUAUAUGCUUU